UUUGUAUAUACAGAUAUAUUGAAAACAUGAUGAUUCAUGUAAAUAUAUAAAAAAAACAGUUUGAUACAAAGUAGUGGAGCGCAAAACAUUAAGUUUGGGUACACAGUGAUUUGACACGCAAAUAUACAACAGAGGGAGGCGUGGAACGCAUGAGGUUUCCCUUGGUCUGGAAACCGGAGAUGGAGGUAGGAUGGAAGGUGAGGUAUGGAACGCAUUAGGCAAGACAGUGACACGCACACAGCCGGAAGUGACGCAGUUGGCGUCUCGAUCUGGCGCGUGUAUUAACACGGCUAUGAGGCAUAUAUAAGGAGUAGCCGGACUCCGCAUAGAUGCCGCCAGCCUGAAUCAGAUUUUGGUAUGGUCAUCAUCCAUGCCCGGAUUAUGGUGGAGACAGGAUAGACAUACAGCAGCAAGGGAGAUCUAUCUUUGUGGACUUAUUGUGGUCAGGGAUAUGUUGAGGAACAGAUAAUGGUCCCUCUGACUUCUAUUAGUAUUGUGAGAAUCAUUGAUGGCUACAUAGCCCCUCACACAUUGAAAGCUAAUAUCUAAGUGUGAUCUCUGUGGGAGUCUUAGUAUCAUCUUUAUCACAAUCACUAUCUGGAUAUACAUAUGGAGCUAAUUGGGGGCCAUUGUUGAGAAGGACGAUCUGUUUGUUGUUAGCCCACACUAUCUAGCAUGGGCAAAAUCUGAUGUGAUCUAUUCAGGAUCUACCACUAUCCCAGGAGUUGAUAUCAAGCACUUCGGGCUCAUUGGAUGUCAACAUCUUAUUGGAGAUCUCCCACAAGGAAGAAACUCACACAUUUUACAUUGUGCAUUCAUUAACCUUGCUUGCUGUGUGAUGUCUUUCUUUUCUUUGCUUAUCAUAUAUAGAAUGGAAUAAGUUAUUGUUGAAAUUCUUCCAUCAUAUAUCCUGGGCUAAUAUAGUAACCCCUGAUGGACCGUAACCAUAGUCUAUGGGGAAACGCGUCGGGUGUCCUAAGGGUGAAUUGUAGGGGAUUGUCCCUGAGUAGAGUCUCCUAUUACUGAGACCUAUGACUCUGUAUUCAUAUUACA